GGGGAGCCCGGGGGCCCCGGGGGCUGCGGUUGCACCGGCCGUUGGUCCCGGCGGCACCGGGGCGCUCCCCCUGGCGGCCGCGGGCGGGAGCGUGAGGGACCGCGGGGCCGCCUCAGGCCCGGGCUGGGCUCAGUUCGCCAGCCGGGGCUUGGCAAGUAAAGUUUAUGCGAGUAUUCACUUGUCACACGAGAUUACGGUAUCAAAAGAGGGGUUUAAGCCAAAGCUUUCCCUGGUUACAUUCACGUAAUCAGUUAGGUUCGAAAAACCCUCUGAGAUCCUUGAAUCCAGCCUGUGUGCACCAGACCAUGGCACUGAGUGCUGCGUCCAGUCUUGCAUUAAACACCUGAAGGGAUGGUGACUGUCACCUCCUUGGGCAGCCCAUUCCAGUGUCUAAUCACUCUGUGAAGAAAUUUCUCCUUAUGUCCAACCUAAACCUCCUCUGGUUGCUGCUUGAGGCUAUGCCCUCUUGUCCUGUCAUGAGUUGUCUAAGAGACGAUCCCGACUCCCAUCGUGCUACAACCUCCUUUCAGGCAGUUCUAGAUAUCAGUAAGGUCACCUCUGAACUUCCUUUUCUCCAGGCGGAACAACCCAAGCUGCCUCAGCUGUUCCUCACAGGACUUGUGCUCCAGAGCCUUCACCAGCUCAGCUGCCCUUCUCUGGGCUUGUUCCAGCACCUCAGUGUCUCCCCUGAACUGAGAGGCCCCGAACUGGACACAGCACUCAAGGUGUGGCCUCACCAGUGCUGAGUACAGGAGAAGAAUCAUUGUCUUUGAAGAUAUUCCUUGUUGUCAAUGAGAGAAAACACUCAUGUCACCAAACCUCCUCUAACAUACUCCCAUACCUUUGCCCAGAAGGCAAGGAGAAGAAAGUAGAAAAAUGGGAAAGCAGCUUGGAAGCACAAACCACUGAGACAGACUUAGUUUCACUGGAAGAGUGAUGAGGAAAAGGAAGAAGUGUGUGUUACUGCACAAUUCAGGGAGCUUCACUGAAGACAGCCUGUCUGAGGCAUGACUCCCUCCUUCAUUUUAGUGUUCUCACAUGGGCAUCUCAACAUAUUCUGUUCAAGACUAUCCCCAUGUAUUACAUGAAGUAAACACAGGAUGAUUAGCUAGCAAAUGGAAUAUUCCAAGUACUGCAAAAAUGAGCUCAGAGAAGACUUGAAUGUGUUGCAUCUGCUGAACUUUCUUUAGCUCCUGAGGCUCUAUUUUUGUGCUCAGUAUUGCAACUGAACUUCACAAACCGUGACACCACACUAAACAGGCUUGAAUGUGUGAUUUUUAAACAGCUGAAGAUGAAGAAUUAGCAUUUUUAACACUAUUACUAAGUAUCCCUUAUGGCACUAGAGAUGAAAUCCCACACUUUCCAAAUGCAAGCUUAGGCCAGCUCUUCUCAGUGGUUUUCUGCAUGCAUCUGCAUGGCACAGAGAAGCAUUAAGCCAUGAGGUAUUUGAUAGGCAACAGUUCUGCUGCUGCAGGUGUCCCACUGCAAACUGUUUGCUCCCCAAGAAGAGACUACAGCCCAACAGGCAGAAACUCUUGCAUUUCAGAAGUAUCACUAGAAAUUUAAGGUUAAUAUAGUAGCUAGUCCAUAAAACCUAAAAGCCAUGUGCACAUUACAGAGAUUGCCAUUUUCAGCUGAAAAAUAUGACCUGCCUGGAAAUAAACUUGACAUUUAGUCAAAAAUUUCAAGAUUAAAAUUUGCAGAGUAGCUUUAUUAGAACCAGUAUAUUCAAAAGAACUGACGUGGGAACAGAGUAGAGAAGGAGGAAGAGAAGAUUUACAAAAUUCCCCUGAAACAGUUUAGUUUCAGUCUAAUCAGCAACUUGUCUACAUUGAAGUAGCCCUGAAAGUCUAAAGGAAUUUAGUUGAUUUAUAUUGUAGCAUUUUUUGAGUGUUCAUACUGAAAAUAAUUUUAAAAGUAUUGUUAUUAAAAUUGUGCCGUUUUUCUUGUA